GAGAAAGGAAGCCACAGACAACCUGGAGUUGAGUGUUGCCUUUGCCUUACUGUGUUUUGCUCUUGAACAAAAUAAUUCACUGUUUGUGUUUCUGUGUAUGUGUGUGUGUGUGUGUGUGUGUGUGUGUGUGUGUAAUCCCA
rnacentral:sRNA from 1 species